GGAGAGAUGGCUCAGUGGUUAAGAGCACUGACUGCUCUUCCAGAGGUCCUGAAUUCAACUCCCAGCCACUACA
rnacentral:tRNA from 1 species